UUAAGCUCUAGAGCAACAUCCAGCCUCCUCAUCUCAACACUCAAGUACCGGUGUUUCCCUCACUUUGCUUCCCAUCCCUUUUUGUCUUACAUAACUUAGAUUCUAAACCAGAAUGUUCACAGCUGAUGCUCUUUUCAUCGGGAAUCCUUCAUUUUUUACCAUCAAUCUUGUAAUAUCCAAAGCAGCUGCAAUCUGCACGAUUGGAUCUUAUGCAGAUACUCUGGCAGCAAGAUGAAAUGUAGCAUCAAAGAAUAAAGAUUUUCUUGCUACCUUGGUGGGUGCUGCUGCCACGAAGAAGAAAUUAUCGGUCAACUGAGUGUACGAUUCUGUCAGGUUUGAGUAGCUCUCUGACCUCUCGAAUGGAAAGCUCUCCUUGGAAAUAGCCUUUUGGUGUUAAAUGUAAGCUGAGAUUUCUUUCUCAGCAGAUUCACUGAUCACCAAUGUUUAGGCUUAAUCAGCAAUUUAGCAUACUAGUCACAAAUAUAUUGCAUUGCUAUAACCAAUUGUGGCCAUUUUAGUUUGGCCUUCUGCCUUUGUAAAGAAAAUUUGUUCUCCACUUGAAAUAAUAUUGUAUAACUGGAUUAUUUGUCUGCACCACAGGUGUUGUAAAUAUAAUCUGUAAUUCAGUAAUCUCUUGAUGAAUGAAACCUA